AUUGAACGCUGGCGGCAGGCCUAACACAUGCAAGUCGAACGAGUGGCGGACGGGUGAGUAAUGUCUGGGAAACUGCCUGAUGGAGGGGGAUAACUACUGGAAACGGUAGCUACUACCGCAUACCAUCCGAUUUGCCCAGAUGGGAUUAGCUUGUAGUUGGGUUAAAGGCUCACCUAGGCGACGAUCCCUAGCUGGUCUGAGAGGAUGACCAGCCACGAUGGAACUGAGACCAGGUCCAGACUCCUACGGGAGGCAGCAGUGGGGAAUAUUGCACAAUGGGCGCAAGCCGGAUGCAGCCAUGCCGCGUGUAUGAAGAAGGCCUUCGGGUUGUAAAGUACUUUCAGCGGGGAGGCGUUACCCGCAGAAGAAGCACCGGCUAACUCCGUGCCAGCAGCCGCGGUAAUAC
rnacentral:rRNA from 1 species